CGAACCGGGGGAACUGAAACAUCUAAGUACCCCGAGGAAAAGAAAUCAACCGAGAUUCCCCCAGUAGCGGCGAGCGAACGGGGAGCAGCCCAGAGCCUGAAUCAGUAUGUGUGUUAGUGGAAGCGUCUGGAAAGGCGCGCGAUACAGGGUGACAGCCCCGUACACAAAAAUGCACAUGCUGUGAGCUCGAUGAGUAGGGCGGGACACGUGGUAUCCUGUCUGAAUAUGGGGGGACCAUCCUCCAAGGCUAAAUACUCCUGACUGACCGAUAGUGAACCAGUACCGUGAGGGAAAGGCGAAAAGAACCCCGGCGAGGGGAGUGAAAAAGAACCUGAAACCGUGUACGUACAAGCAGUGGGAGCACGCUUAGGCGUGUGACUGCGUACCUUUUGUAUAAUGGGUCAGCGACUUAUAUUCUGUAGCAAGGUUAACCGAAUAGGGGAGCCGAAGGGAAACCGAGUCUUAACUGGGCGUUAAGUUGCAGGGUAUAGACCCGAAACCCGGUGAUCUAGCCAUGGGCAGGUUGAAGGUUGGGUAACACUAACUGGAGGACCGAACCGACUAAUGUUGAAAAAUUAGCGGAUGACUUGUGGCUGGGGGUGAAAGGCCAAUCAAACCGGGAGAUAGCUGGUUCUCCCCGAAAGCUAUUUAGGUAGCGCCUCGUGAAUUCAUCUCCGGGGGUAGAGCACUGUUUCGGCAAGGGGGUCAUCCCGACUUACCAACCCGAUGCAAACUGCGAAUACCGGAGAAUGUUAUCACGGGAGACACACGGCGGGUGCUAACGUCCGUCGUGAAGAGGGAAACAACCCAGACCGCCAGCUAAGGUCCCAAAGUCAUGGUUAAGUGGGAAACGAUGUGGGAAGGCCCAGACAGCCAGGAUGUUGGCUUAGAAGCAGCCAUCAUUUAAAGAAAGCGUAAUAGCUCACUGGUCGAGUCGGCCUGCGCGGAAGAUGUAACGGGGCUAAACCAUGCACCGAAGCUGCGGCAGCGACGCUGAUGCGUUGUUGGGUAGGGGAGCGUUCUGUAAGCCUGCGAAGGUGUGCUGUGAGGCAUGCUGGAGGUAUCAGAAGUGCGAAUGCUGACAUAAGUAACGAUAAAGCGGGUGAAAAGCCCGCUCGCCGGAAGACCAAGGGUUCCUGUCCAACGUUAAUCGGGGCAGGGUGAGUCGACCCCUAAGGCGAGGCCGAAAGGCGUAGUCGAUGGGAAACAGGUUAAUAUUCCUGUACUUGGUGUUACUGCGAAGGGGGGACGGAGAAGGCUAUGUUGGCCGGGCGACGGUUGUCCCGGUUUAAGCGUGUAGGCUGGUUUUCCAGGCAAAUCCGGAAAAUCAAGGCUGAGGCGUGAUG
rnacentral:rRNA from 1 species